UGACAACAGCUAUUUAAGAUAGGGGUAAUCAACAAGUGCCAUGAGGACUGGGAACAUGCAAGGUGGAACACUGGAACUGUAAAGCAUUUUUAUCUAACCAGUAUCUGACUGGUUGACAGGUCAGCCCAACUGAAGAUGUUACUGUAUGCCUUUGGUGAAGAGAGUAGAGGUGUAGUAGACUCAGGUUGUGUCUGGAAAAGCUUAUUAUAAAAAGUACAGAACAAGCUCUAGGCAACCAUGACAAUCUCAAUCUAUUCUAAUAGCUGACUGUACACAAAAGUGGCCUCUGAAGAAACAUGUGUUGACCAAUUAAUUUUUGAGACAUUCUGGCUGUGUCUUAGCAUUUAAAUUGUUGGAAAGGAUGCUGAUCUGUUCCUUCACAUUUAGCAAACAUUCAUUGACUCCAUUAGUCAUUGACUCCAGGAGAUCUUUCAUUCAUCUCAGUAGUUUUGUCUCAGAUUUUUUUUUUUUUUGAUUGAAAAUAUGUGGAUAGUCUUCUCUUAAUACCUAAUCCCCAAUUCUGCAACAAAUUCACAUGUAGAAUUGGCUAACAUUAUGGGUUCAAGAUGUCAGGUAUGUUCAAAGCAAUGAGAAAGAAAAGAAAAGAUUUUGAAAGGUUCCCCUUUCUUAGUAAGCAAAAUUCUUUUUAGUAAUCAUCCAACAAGAGGUGCUAUUCAUUUCACAUCUCUGCAGGAAAGUGUUAACAUAAUAAUGCUUUGUGAUCAUGUGUUAGUUAUUAGGUUCAUAAUGAGUAUAAUACUGUCUUAGUUGUAAUGUUCAUUAAUACAGCAGAAAAAUUCAGUAUGUUAAUGUGUGUUUCUUCAAGAUUAGCCACAGAAAGUGAAAGAACAGGUCUGUGCUAAUACAGCAAAAAUCUAUUAAACUCAUAACCUUUGUGCAUGGAAAAGGAAUUAUUUUAACAGGUUUGUUCCAUUAAUGGCUAUUUGUUUAAGAAGACUUCUUAAUACCAUAAAUUUUCUGCCUGUGCACAUAGAAUAUUCCUUCAGAGAACACAGCUAUUUUUUUUGACAGGUUGUGUUACUGUAAGCUACAGAGUUUUUUUGCAUUAUCUUAAGGAUUUUCUCAAACUAUGUAUUCACAAUGUGUAGAUGCUUUGAAUAUGCACUGGAAUUCUGUGCAGAAUCCAGGCUUGCCGGUGCACAGCAACAGUUCAGCUCAUUUUCCAAAUUCAUCCUUCUCUUCCCAAAUAUUAUUCUGCCAUAACAGAGGGCACAUAAUUUUACAGCUAUUGCUUCUCCUUCUCCCUCUUCUUCUCCCAACAGUGUACCAAAAAUUCCUAUUGCCUAUGGCAAGGAGCUUCAUAUCACCUACCUUUAACUCUACCUUGUGAACUGCCUUUAGAAACAGAAACUCCUUUGAGCUUUCUCUGUCCUUCCAGAUCCACAUCUUUUGUGUAGCACUGACUAUACCCUUUAGAGGAACUGCUUUCUAUCACAUUCGAGCAGAGAUAGUUUAUGUGCCAUCAUGGAAAAGAUUUCACUUUGGCUAAGUAUUUUAAAACUGCAAUAACUUCAGGAAGACAGUGUAAAUCCACUCUAUUCUCUGGACUUCCCUUAAUGCAGCAAAGAAGAAUUCCCACCAUCAAUGGGAGACACUCCACUGCUGGGAAUGACUACAUACAAACUUGCUCCUCUGCAUUCAUGGGUGGGUGAUGAAGGAAAUGCAUCCAUGCUAAGGGGCCAGAGGAAGGGAUCAAGCUGCCAGGGAAAUAAGUCUCUUCAGUCUAUUAAAGUAAUGCAAAAGGAGAAGAGAGUUGAAGACAAUGUCUUUUCGGGGGUCAGAUAUGAUUCCCACUGAUGAAUCUGUUUGGGAUUUUUUAGUUUCCUGUCAGUACAAAAGAUGCAGUCUGUGAUGCUCACUGGUAUUUCCUCUUGGAAGUGGUGUGUAAAAAGUUCAUACACUUUGCCACAUCCUGCAGUAAGAGUUCAUAUCAGUUCUUUCCAAAAGAUUGAUUCCUAGCUUGCUGCAGCACAGUUCAUCAAAUCCUUAAUACAGAGGUGAAUGGAUGGUAGUCUCUUUUUCAUCCAAACAAUUGUAAGCCUGAAUUUGGCUAGCAGCUGUGCUUGUUGGAUGAAGCAUGACUGUUCAGUAUUUGGUUUGUUUGCUAUUGCCAGCAAACAAUACACUGGCAAGUGUUUACACUUUCUUUCUGUUGAUUUUUUUUUAUUGUUGUUUUGGUGCUAUACAAAAGUAUGCAUGAAUAUGUUUCCAGAAUAUAUACUAAUACCUGCGUAGAUGAAGAGAGUAAAGUUUAAAAUGAAAGAAAGUCAUCCGAGGUCGUGUUUUUACCACGUGAGUUGUACUCCACACUGAUUUGUUAGAUUUUUCAUAACAUCAUUUAAAGUCAAUGAGGAACUUCUGCAGCCAAUUCCUUCUGUUUACAUCUCCCUGCUUUUUUUUUUUCCUCUUCGAUUCAUUUAUCUUUUUUGACACUAAAGGAUAAUGACCAGGUAAGCAUCAUUUUCUUGCACAGAAAAGCAGUUGAAGAGUCUGGGAAUGCAAUGGGAAUUCAGUUCUGAGUGCAUUUAUUAGUUCUUUCGUAAGCUUCUGUCUAUAUUAAUGUACUGCAGCAUUUUGCAGAAUAAUAUACUCAUAAGGGCUUCGUAGUCAGCUUUCCUUCUUCAUUCUGAGGACCAACAUGUUAGUUUUUCAACAGCUGUAAUCAGGAAAAUAAGAGCUUUAGUGUUUGCUUCAAACCCUGUAUCUCUAGGCAAUCUGCUGCUAGAAAGCUACUCACAGAGUUAGCAUGAAACUAUUCUAAUUCUGUAUUAAUUGCUGUAAUUAGUUUUUUUGCGUCAUGAUCAGAUCAAGGAAGCCU
ensembl:lncRNA